GGAUGGUUCUUCGUCUCCACCGCAGGCCGGCCGAUCUUCAAUGCAUCGAAUCACCUCAACCGGCUGCACCAAAAAUGCAAGCUGGAUCCAGUCAGCAAGCAGAUGGCCUGGCGCAUCUUUGAGACGGCGACCAAGGACUUGAGUCACCAGGAGAAGUCCUUGGUGGCUGAUUUACCUCACGAAUUCCACUGCGACGGCUGACAAGCACUACCGGAUGAAGCAGUCGCGGAAUGUGGUGCUGGCCAAUAAGCUGCUGAAGAAGCUGGCAGGUGACUCGAGGCAGCAUUCGAUCAGCUCCUUUGAACCCACUCCGUGACCCUGGAGGGCGAGGUGCCAGACACGACUGUACGGACACAAACGUCGGGCCAGUUUCAGCGACAGCUCUGAGCACUGGCUGAAGGCCCUGAUAAGGAUGC